rnacentral:tRNA from 1 species
AUUAUAUAGUUUAAGAAAAAACUUUACAUUUUCAUUGUAAAAAUAAAAUAAUUUUUUUUAUAAAUU